rnacentral:lncRNA from 1 species
CUUAACUUCAUCUUGAGUGUCAUGCGUUUCAAUAUGUGGAGUUUGAAAUUGAUAUGAGCAUAUGGUGUCACUAGUUCUCGCAUCUAAGUAGUAGCAUUCCAUUCAUGAGAUCAUAUCUAAACAUGCUUAUUAACUCCAGAAAUUGCUUUCUUUGUGAUACAUAUAUGUGAGCGUUCGUUUUCAUAUCUAUAUCAAUCUUCUCACAUAUAACUAGUAUAGGGUGUGUAGUUAGAAAAUCUGAGUGAAAAUUGAGUGCAUAUCUUGUAAGGAAUUGAGUGAUUUCUCUAAGGCAUGUUACUACAUCAAAAACAUUAUUUUAAUCGAUUAAUUGUGAACAAGUAAGUAGUGACUAUGAUUAAGUACGUGCUUAAGUGUGAAGAUGACUCAAAUCUGUGGGGAUAAUAAUUUUUAACAUGUCAUGUGCAUUGGAAAUCCCUGAGGCAAAUGUUGGAAGGUUUAGGUUGUGUUUUUUUUUUUUACUUUGUUUCGUUUUAUCUCUUUGUUUUGCUCGAGGACUAGCAAAAGCUAAGUGUGGGGGAAUUUGAUAGGAGCAUAUUUAUGUGACUUAGUUGGCUUGUUCUUGUGCAUUUAUGUCGUGUUUCCUUAGUUAUUUUAAUGUUUAAAGUCAUUUUCGUGU